rnacentral:rRNA from 1 species
AAUCUACGCUGGCGGCGUGCCUCAGACAUGCAAGUCGAACGAUUAAAGCUCCCUUCGGGGAGUGCAUAGAGUGGCGCACGGGUGAGUAACACGUAAGUAAUCUACCUUCGAGUGGGGAAUAACGUCCGGAAACGGACGCUAAUACCGCAUAAUGCAGCGGCAUCGCAAGAUGACAGUUGUUAAAGAUUUAUCGCUUGAAGAGGAGCUUGCGGCAGAUUAGCUAGUUGGUAAGGUAAUGGCUUACCAAGGCUACGAUCUGUAACCGGUCUUGGGGGACGGUCGGUCACACUGACACUGAAUAACGGGUCAGACUCCUACGGGAGGCAGCAGUCGGGAAUUUUGGGCAAUGGGCGAAAGCCUGACCCAGCAACGCCGCGUGAAGGAUGAAGUAUUUCGGUAUGUAAACUUCGAAAGAAUGGGAAGAAUCAAUGACGGUACCAUUUAUAAGGUCCGGCUAACUACGUGCCAGCCGCCGCCGUAA